GACGAACGCUGGCGGCGCGCUUAACACAUGCAAGUCGAACGGAAAGGCCUGCUUUCCCUUGUGGAUUGCGGGUACUCGAGUGGCGAACGGGUGAGUAACACGUGAGUGAUCUGCCCCCAACUUGGGUAUAAGCCUGGGAAACUGGGUCUAAUUCCCGAUAGGACUGCAGGGUGGUGCCUGUGGUGGAAAACGAUUUUCUAGUGGUUGGGGAUGAGCUCGCGGCCUAUCAGCUUGUUGGUGGGGUAAUGGCCUACCAAGGCGGCGACGGGUAGCCGGCCUGAGAGGGUGGACGGGCACAUUGGGACUGAGAUACGGCCCAGACGCCUACGGGAGGCAGCAGUGGGGAAUAUUGCACAAUGGGCGGAAGCCUGAUGCAGCGACGCCGCGUGGGGGAUGACGGCCUUCGGGUUGUAAACUCCUUUCGACCGCGAGGAAGCCACCUGGUUGGAAGGGUGGUGACGGUAGUGGUAGAAGAAGCACCGGCUAACUACGUG
rnacentral:rRNA from 1 species